rnacentral:rRNA from 1 species
UAGGGUUUGAUUAUGGCUCAGAACGAACGCUGGCGGCGUGGAUUAGGCAUGCAAGUCGAACGAGAAAGGGUUUCUUCGGAACCUGAGUAAAGUGGCGAAAGGGUGAGGAGUACCUAGGUAACCUACCCUGAAGCGCGGGAUAACGCUCGGAAACGGGUGCUAAUACCGCAUGUGGCAACGGUUUCGCGAGAAGUCGUUGCUAAAGGUAGCCUCUGUUUUAAGCUUCCGCUUCAGGAGGGGCCUCGGGCCUAUCAGCUUGUUGGUGGGGUAAUGGCCUACCAAGGCGGGGACGGGUAGCCGGUCUGAGAGGACGGUCGGCCACACUGGGACUGAGAUACUGCCCAGACUCCUACGGGAGGCUGCAGUCGAGAAUCUUCCGCAAUGGACGAAAGUCUGACGGAGCGACGCCGCGUGUGGGAGGAAGGCUCUAGGGUUGUAAACCACUGUCACCUGUUAUGAAUCGUGUGAUGUGAAUAGCAUCGCGCGUGACAAAGGCAGGAGAGGAAGCCACGGCUAACUUCGUGCCAGCCGCCGCGGUAAUACA